rnacentral:rRNA from 1 species
CCUACGGGGUGCAGCAGUAGGGAAUAUUGCUCAAUGGGGGACACCCUGAAGCAGCAACGCCGCGUGGAGGAUGACGGUUCUCGGAUUGGAAACUCCUUUUGUUAGAGAAGAUAAUGACGGUAUCUAACGAAUAAGCACCGGCUAACUCCGUGCCAGCAGCCGCGGUACUAUGGAGGGUGCAAGCGUUACUCGGAAUCACUGGGCGUAAAGGGGGCGUAGGGGGGAUGUCAAGUCAGGUGUGAAAUCAUAUGGCUUAACCCUAGAACUGCAGUUGAUACUGUUAUUCUAGAGUAUGGGAGAGGUAGGUGGAAUUCGUGGUGUAGCGGUGAAAUCCGUAGAGAUCAAGAGGAAUACUGAUUGCGAAGGCAGCCUGCUAGAACUUAACUGACGCUGAUGCGCGAAAGCGUGGGUAGCAAACAGGAUUAGAUACCCCUGUAGUC